CAGCCGCCACGGGAAUACGUAGGGUGCAAGCGUUAAUCGGAAUUACUGGGCGUAAAGCGUGCGCAGGCGGUUUGUUAAGACAGAUGUGAAAUCCCCGGGCUCAACCUGGGAACUGCAUUUGUGACUGGCAGGCUAGAGUAUGGCAGAGGGGGGUGGAAUUCCGCGUGUAGCAGUGAAAUGCGUAGAUAUGCGGAGGAACACCGAUGGCGAAGGCAGCCCCCUGGGCCAAUACUGACGCUCAUGCACGAAAGCGUGGGGAGCAAACAGGAUUAGAUACCCCCGUAGUCCCUGUCUCUUAUAC
rnacentral:rRNA from 1 species